rnacentral:rRNA from 1 species
UACGUAGGGGGCAAGCGUUGUCCGGAUUUAUUGGGCGUAAAGAGCGUGUAGGCGGCUUGGAAGGUCAGCUGUGAAAACUCGAGGCUCAACCUCGAGACGUCGGUUGAAACCACCUGGCUAGAGUCCGGAAGAGGAGUGUGGAAUUCCCGGUGUAGCGGUGAAAUGCGCAGAUAUCAGGAAGAACACCCGUGGCGAAGGCGGCUUUCUGGGACGGUACUGACGCUGAGACGCGAAAGCGUGGGGAGCGAACAGG